UCGGAGAGUUUGAUCCUGGCUCAGAAUGAACGCUGGCGGCAUGGAUUAGGCAUGCAAGUCGAACGGUAACGAUACUAGCUUGCUAGUAGGCGACGAGUGGCGCAAGGGUGAGUAACGCGUGAACAAUUUGCCUCUAAGUUUGGGAUAGCCCAUGGAAACGUGGAUUAAUACCGGAUAUGGCAGUAUUACCGCAUGGUUUUACUGUUAAAGUUUUUCGCUUAGAGAUGAGUUCGCGUCCCAUCAGCUAGUUGGUAAGGUAACGGCUUACCAAGGCUACGACGGGUAGCUGGUCUGAGAGGACGAUCAGCCACACUGGGACUGAGACACUGCCCAGACUCCUACGGGAGGCUGCAGUCGAGAAUCUUCCGCAAUGCGCGCAAGCGUGACGGAGCGAC
rnacentral:rRNA from 1 species